AGUGAAACUGACAAUAAACAUUCAUGGGCAAAAAGUAUAUCUUAUUUAUACUUAGAAAAUUUCUACUUUACAAACCCGGUCGCUUACGAUUCGGGCUAAGUACAAAAAAAAAAAAGAAGAAAGAAAAUUUUCUUUAUUACAAAUCCUACAUAUCUACUCGGCAGGAGGGUCAUCUUCAGCGUCAGACUCGUCAUCCGAAGAGUCAAGGAUGGAGACAUCAAGCCCAGCAGCCAUCAACUUUGCNNN
rnacentral:lncRNA from 1 species